AGACAGAACUGCACCCUGAUUCUCUGCCAGGAGCCUCUGAGACUCAAAAAACUGGGUCUGGAGAAGCGUGGGACAACUGAGUGCUCUCUCUGAUGUCUCACUUCAGCCAGUAAGAGACACUCCACGGAGUACAGGCUUUUAUCCAGGGCAAGGUCACCAAGGGGUUGAAGCCGCAAUUUCAUUGAGAACGCAUCAAGGACAGAGCAAGUGCCCAGGAAAACCAAAGCAGGCGUUUCCUGGCCCCACAGCCUUACAGGGACAGUGUCUGUGGAUGGCUUUGACCAACUGGACGAACAGGAACACCAGGAGGCCCAGAAGCAACAUGGAGCCCAAAGUGAUGACGAAAGGCACAUACCAUGCUGAUGAAGAAUAAACGUUUUUUCUCAGGACCUGGCGGAUGACCUGCGGCUUGAAUGACAGAGUGGGGGACGCUGCUGAGGCCUCCAACACCAGGACCCUUGGAAACAGCGUACCUGAGCCAAUGGAGUAACGAAAAGACCUGGGACUGGAAUCAAGGUCAGUACACGUCAGCUUGAAAUUCUGAAUGUUUG